rnacentral:rRNA from 1 species
UACGUAGGCGGCAAGCGUUGUCCGGAAUUAUUGGGCGUAAAGCGCGCGCAGGCGGUUCUUUAAGUCUGAUGUGAAAGCCCCCGGCUCAACCGGGGAGGGUCAUUGGAAACUGGGGAACUUGAGUGCAGAAGAGAAGAGCGGAAUUCCACGUGUAGCGGUGAAAUGCGUAGAGAUGUGGAGGAACACCAGUGGCGAAGGCGGCUCUUUGGUCUGUAACUGACGCUGAGGCGCGAAAGCGUGGGGAGCAAACAGG